UUGUCAUUGAUAAAGGCAAUGCUCUUCUGAUCUUUUGAUCACAGUAUUUAGAAGUGCCGCGGUAUCAAAAUGGUGAAGGUGUGGUAUAUGGAUAAUAAAGAAAAUGACCAACGUUUGGAGCAUCAUAAAAGCCCACCCGAAUAUUUGUCACUAGAAGAUCUUCACCAGAAAACAGGCGUAGAACACUUCACUAUAAAUGCCGACAGUUAUGAAGACGAUGAAUUGUUGACUGCUAUUCGUAAAGAUCGGAAUUACUCAUACGAAGAUGAGAUAACUUGCUCUAAAUCGUGUUUACCAGACUUUGAAAAUAAGCUGAAGUCGUUCUACACCGAGCAUUUACAUACGGAUGAAGAAAUUCGACUGGUUUUGGAUGGAUCAGGAUAUUUUGAUGUCAGAGAUGCAAAAGAUGAUUGGAUUCGAAUAGCUGUUAGUAAGGGAGACUUAAUAAUUAUACCAGCCGGCAUAUAUCAUCGAUUUACCUUGGACAUAGAGGGUAAUGAUGGAGAUUUAUGCCACGAACUAUUUAGGCGUUUAUGACGCUAGGUGCUGUUAUGCACUUUCCGGAAGCGAUGUAAUGGUGUGCUUGACUCAGGUAGUGAGUGAACAAAGGAAGUAACAAGAUCUCAAUGUCUUCACUGCUCGGGAAAUAAUAAUUACGUUUCAGUAGAUGCAUCAGUCUUCCAACUUUCUGGGGUAUUUGAAGAGUAGUCAGCGACAGAUUGAAGACCUUGGUUAGAUUACCAUAGGUCGAGAAGUUAUGAUAUUUAUCAGACCACCCCUAAUGAUGAUAAUAUUAAGCGAUCUUUUACAGUUGCUCAUUAUUCUGUAGUACACCUAUGUUUCGGCGAUAUCUUGUUGGGCAACAUGGAAUCGGGGGGAUGUAUAUAUUGAAUAUAUUCGAUAUAGCUUUUGAUGAGACGAUAUUGCACUGUGCUCUAUUACAGCUACGCCUCCGCCAUUAUCCCGCUCGCGAUCCUUACGUAUAACGUUGAAACCUGCCAAAAAUCGAAUGAAAUCGCGGGGACGGUUGUUGCACUGUGGUAUUGCUUGGCGACGCUUCUUACGGGGACAAACCCCUGAAGCACUAUACAACUAAGACAACCUAACUCAAAGUCUUAAUGUCUGAGUAGAUCUUAGUAUGGCUCCAUAUAUUGCAUGUAUUGCCGCUAACAGAAGUGGAGUUAGGAUGGAGUCUUUUAGCGCAAAUGCAACAAAAAAUUUCUUGGAGACAGAGUUGGAUUCAAUGCCAGCACGGAUCGGGAGGAUGCAGGUAUUGCAAAAUCAACGGUUAUGUUUUAAGCCGAACAAAGUAAGGCCACCUUUCAGAAAAGAGUUAUAAGCAAAAUAUAAUAUUAAAAUGUGGGUAUUUGUGUUGUGCAUUUUGAGGUAUCAUCUUUCUU
rnacentral:misc_RNA from 1 species